CUGAAAUGAGGCACAGGUGUGAACAGACAGCAGUUACCAGCCCAGUGUUACCCUAGGCAUUGCUUCCUUUACUUAAGGCCAGCCUCAGCCCUACAGCCUGCUUCCUUAUGUGGGAAGAACAUCUGAGUAUUUUCAGAAAGAAAAGAGCGCUCUUCAGGACGUGAUUACAGCAGCAUUAGGGCUUUUCGAGUUGCUGGAAUGCUCUGUUUCUUCACGGAUGAAGGAAGUGGUGAUGGCCAUCAAACAAUCAGGAGACAGAGCUGGGAAGAACUGUGUUUCCCUAGGGAAGAAGCUGCACAGAAGCCUGCAGAAGGCACAGUCCCUGCUUGUACCCAGAGGUGAAGAGCUUCCCUGCUGCUACACCAACCACAGCUCAAGCCCUUGAGGCUGUUACUUGUCUUUUCACCCUUUGCCCUGGCUUGUGCAUAAUGCAACAUGGGACAAAUUCACGUUCCCCUCAAUCAUUUUUGUUACAAAACUACAACUGACUUUCUUUUAAAUCUUGGCUUUUGCCUGGGCUGAGUAUAUCGCCUCUUCUGGUGCAAGGCGUGUUUUCAAACAAUCCUAUAGCAUCUCUCUUGUCAGUUCCUUGUUGAGCAUAAAUGUGUUCCCAAACUCCUCUUUUCCAAGGAAUACACAUGUAAGUUCUCGCAUAUUUAUUAAAUAACAUGAAUCCCCUCCCACACACUUUUUUUCUUGCCAAGAGCAGCAGUAAUCUGCAUGGGAACACAGCAGCGUAGGAGUUAUCUGCUUGAAUUGGUUGACACAGCCAUAGUGGGUCCCCACUUGCUCUCAGACUGCUUCUUUCAUGUUACAGAGAGAAUGAAACCCAGGCUGGACGCUUCUCUUGGUUACCACUUUGGUUAUUUUUUCUUCACGCUUAGUGAGGAACACACAUCAGUGUUUGCCAGCAGAUACUGAUGCUUAUUUUCCUCUUGGAAAGCCUCCUUGCUACUCGAGCCACAACAAAAAGAAGACUAAAUCCAAAUUCCAAGGAGAAAGAAACCCCUCUUCAGCAGGACAUUGCCUUCAAGUGGGAAAAGUGCCAGAGGCUCCAUUAAGUCUACUUUGUAUUCUUAUUGAUUUUAUGUGGAAGGCACUCAGAUCCGUGGGGGUGAACAACAGGCUGAGGGCUGAGGUACUGCAUUAGGAAACACAGCUCGUGAUGCAGAGUGAUCAUUCAGCCCUUUACAGUGAUCACAUUCACAUUAAUAAGUCCAUCCUGUGUCUGUGCUAAUGUAUUUUCAUGCCAGUUUUGCAGAGCUGACGUAAUGUUACAUUCAGUUCCAUCCAGCAGUGCUGGUUACAGUUGUCAGCCACAGCUGAUAGAAGUGGAACUUUAAAAACGGAACAAGACGUGUCACAGCUCGUUGUGCUAAUUCUGCUUUAAGCUGCUUUUGCCAUGAAUACGAAGUUUGGUUCAGGAACCUGAAGGAAAGCACUUUGCAUGGAAAGA